GACGAACGCUGGCGGCGUGCUUAACACAUGCAAGUCGAACGGAAAGGCCCUGCUUUUGUGGGGUGCUCGAGUGGCGAACGGGUGAGUAACACGUGAGUAACCUGCCCUUGACUUUGGGAUAACUUCAGGAAACUGGGGCUAAUACCGGAUAGGAGCUCCUGCUGCAUGGUGGGGGUUGGAAAUUUUCGGCGGUUGGGGAUGGACUCGCGGCUUAUCAGCUUGUUGGUGGGGUAGUGGCUUACCAAGGCUUUGACGGGUAGCCGGCCUGAGAGGGUGACCGGCCACAUUGGGACUGAGAUACGGCCCAGACUCCUACGGGAGGCAGCAGUGGGGAAUAUUGCACAAUGGGCGGAAGCCUGAUGCAGCAACGCCGCGUGCGGGAUGACGGCCUUCGGGUUGUAAACCGCUUUCGCCUGUGACGAGGCGUGAGUGACGGUAAUGGGUAAAGAAGCACCGGCUAACUACGUG
rnacentral:rRNA from 1 species